UUCACCUCCUCUGCGGUUUCCAGGCACCCCACACUGUCCUCCAUCUUCUUCUUCAUGUCGGCCACCUGGGCAGGAGCAAGGAGUAAGCAGACGCCCGAGAUGGCACCUGCUCAGGUCACACACCUGUCCCUGGGGCAGGCAUGAAAUAAACAUAAGGGAUCAACCAAGCAACCACUACAGAGAAAUGCAGUUGCCAUCACUCAGGAAGCCACGUGACGCCAGGUAGCACAUCAGAUAGCAAACUCAGCGCAGGCCUGGCAAUCACGAGGCCAAAGAGCUCAGCCACGACCCUAACAGGGUAACUGGCCAUUUCUCCAGGUGACAAGGGCACAGGGACUGCCAGCACCAUGGCUUGCGGCUACGUUCAUAAUGGAAGCAGGGCUACAUUGUAGCUAGACUGGUGAAAAUAAAGUGUAAAAAUAGUGGUGUCCCCCAUCAAAGUCCACAGAUGGAUUACUCUCUUAGGGACUCAGGCUAAGAGCACUGAUGUGGGACAGCGUGGGGGGGGGGGUCCCUGGGAGAGAGGGCAAUAGGCUGGCCCAGCGGCAGGUUGUCCUGCAGUGCCCAGGCCAGCAGCUCUCCAGCCUGCAGCAUCUGGCCAGUUCCCUGGGCCUCCGAACCUGGGCGUGGAGGGUGGCGAUCUGCUUCUCCAGGUUGUGCUUGGCUUCCUCCUCCUCCUCCAGCUGCUCCCGGAAGGAAUUCUUCUCAUCCUCCACCUGCUUGAGCUUGGUGCUCAGGCCCAGCUUCUGCCGGUUCUCCUCCUGCAGCAGCUCCUACUCCCGGGAUGAGAUGGGUGGGGGGGCUCAGGAGAGCAGUUUCUGAACCCCAGGGACCCCACACCCUUGAGAAGAGGGAGGAGCUGGUCCUGCUGAUUCACGGAAUGGCCACAUAAAGACCUGGUGGGAGCUGGGAAGACGCAGAGACUCCCCCAACCCAGGAUGAAGGGGAGGAUGGGCAACCUGAUGGGCUCUGGAGCUAAUGUCGUAUAGGCACAGGGGCCUUCCUGGAGGAGUCCACCUUCCAGGAACCUGGCACCAUCCUUACCUGAGUGUCCUGAAGCUGGGACUCCAGUGCAGAGAAGUCCUUGGUGAGCUUGCUGGACUUGCUGUCGGACUGGGUGAGGAGCCCGGUCACGUUGUCCAGCUCCACCUGCACCAGGAGGGCAGACAUGAAGGACCAUGGACCCGGGCCCAAUGCUCCAGCCCCACCUCGGCUCCUUUAGGUAAAGCUGAACCGGAGCCACAAGCUGAACUGUGAGGGCCUCCCUCAGGAGCCAGUUUGAGUAGACAGAGUCAGAGACAGAGCAUGCGUGCACCCGGGGGUCUGGGCCACGACUGCUGCUAGGGCCCACCGCCCGCACUGGCGUCCCAGCGGAGGCCUCACCUGCAGCUUGGUGACCUUGUCGGCCAGCUCCGUGCGCACGCGCUCUCCCUCAUUGAACUUGACCUGCAGCUCCUGCAGCUGCGCCUCCACUUUCUUGCGUUUGUGCUCCGAGUCCCCCUUGCCCUGCAGCAGCACCUUCACCUCGUUGGCCAGCUCCCCCCGCUCGUUCUCCAGGGUCUGCUUUGCCUUCUCGAGGUUGGCUUUCACCUGGUGGGGGAGAAAGCGAAGAUGUGAGUGGGGUGUCUCCUGACACGAGGCUGGCUGGCCUCUCAUCACUGGACCCUAGAUCCAGACGUCGCAGCUCCUGUAGCCCCGAAGACAGUGUGCCAGCUGAACUCAGAGGGCUCAGGCCUCAUCUGUCCUGCCUCUUCUCUCUUGGCUGGGAAACUGAGGCACAAAUCACACAGCCCCUAUGAAGGAGAAACUGGCCUCAGAACCAGACAGUUGGGUUGGACUCUGUUAACUGCUCUGCAGGACUGGUUUGGAGACUGGGGACCCUGCCUUCCCCUGGCAGUCUCAGGGGGGCUCUGCCCAAGCACAGGGGAUCCCGCCUUUCCCUGGCAGUCUCAGGAGGGCUCUGCACAGCACAGGGGACCCCGCCUUCCCCUGGCAGUCUCAGGGGGUGGGGGCUUUGCCCAGCACAGGGGCCCCACCUUCCCACAGUGGUCUCGGGGGGCUCCGUACCCGCUUCGUCUGCUCCAGCUGCUCUGCCAGCUCUUCCACAGCCUGUGAGUGCUUCUGCCUCAUCUCCUGGAUCUGGGCCUCGUGGGUCUUGGCCUCCUCCUCCAGGGUCUUCUUCAGGAUGUUCACCUCCUGCUCACGUUUUGAUCUGGACAGAGAGAUCCCCUAAGAGUGGAGGCCGGGGGCACUGGAGCGAGCUGUCCCUGGGGCUCUUCCCUAACCAAACAGAUGCCUGGCCAGAGCACAGGCACUCCAGGCAGCUUUUCUAUCCAUCAGCCCCUCCUGGCCAUCUAUCCCGCAGCCCAGGCUCAAACACGCAUUGUGAGAGGCCUCUGUAGCCUUUCAGCUUUAAAGUCCACCCUUGCCUCACCCCCAAUUUUGAGCCAGGUUCUUCAACAGCCUUUCUACUCUGUAGAAAGAAACUGCUGAGGAACCAACAGCUUCCAUGCCUGCUGACGCUUAACAAGGCCAUGGUGUGUGUGUGUGUGUGUGUGUGUGUGUGUGUGUGUGUGUGUGUUUGUGUGUGUUUAUGUGUGUUUAUGUGUGUGUGUGUGCGUGCACGCGCGCAAAGGCCCAGGGUCCAUGCCUCCAAGCCAAGGCCUCUCUGGCUGCCCUCCCCAUCCCCAGGGACUUGGCCCCAGGGCACACCUAAGCUCCUGCUGGGCAGCAGUGGAAUCCAGAGUGUCCUCCAACUCUGUUUUCAGUGCCUCUAGCUCUUCCCCAAGGUCCCGUUUCUGCUUCUCAGCUUUAUUCCUGGAAGCACGCUCAGACUCCAGGUCUUCCUGGAGUUCAGAGAUCUGAGAUUCCAGCUCCCGGAUCUUCUUGAGGGCCAUAUUCUUCUGGGCAGCUUCUUCUUCCACUCUGCCAAAGCAACCAACAAUAUCAGGAUGAGGCCAGUUUCACCUCCAAAGAACAGCGUUUGCAGGACAGGCCUGAGAGGGGUGCAGCAGCCAAAGCUGCCUCUGGUGGUCACAAUCAUAGAUAGCACUUAGGACCACUCUCAGCAAAACCAACAACUGAGGCAGCCAGAUUUAAGGGCAAUACCACUCAGAACUAGAAAACCUCAUAGAGGAAUCAUUUCCAUUUCCAAGGUAAGACUCACUGCUUCAAAUAUUUUUAAAACUCAAAUGACUUAUAAAAUGGGAAGAAAAGGAAAUAAAAUGCUACACCACAGAAUGACUGCAACUAAAUAAAAAUACAAAUGUGCUAUGGAGUUCACCAAUUAGAACAAUUAGAAAUGAAGGGACCGGGUACUGGUGGCUCACACCUGUAAUGCCAGCACGUUGGGAGGCCAACAUGGGCAGAUCACAAGGUCAGGAGAUUGAGACCAUCCUGGCUAACAUGGUGAAACUCCAUCUCUACUAAAAAUACAAAAAUUAGCUGGGAGUGGUGGUGCACACCUGUAGUCCCAACUACUCAGGAGGGUGAGGCAGGAGAAUCAUUUGAACCCGGGAGGCGGAGGUUGCAUUGAGCAGAGAGUGCCACUGCACUCCAGCCUGGUGACAGGGAAGACUCCGUCUCAAAAAAAAGGAAAGAAAUUAAGAAAGGAAAGGACUGGCCGGGCGCAGUGGCUCAGGCCUGUAAUCCCAGCACUUUGGGAGGCCAAGGCGGGCGGAUCACGAGGUCAAGAGAUCAAGACCAUCCUGGUCAACAUGGUGAAACCCUGUCUCUACUAAAAAUACAAAAAAUUGGCAGGGCAUGGUGGCGCGUGCCUUUAAUCCCAGCUACUCAGGAGGCUGAGGCGGGAGAAUUGCCUGAACCCAGGAGACGGAGGUUGCGGUGAGCCAAGAUCGCGCCAUUGCACUCCAGCCUGGGUAACAAGAGCGAAACUCCAACUCAAAAAAAAAAAAAAAAAAAAAAAGAAAGUCAAGGACUGUUGUAGGUGGGUGAUAGAGCUGUGGAUGACUUUUUUCAAAUUAUAAACAAAUAAACAAAAGACAAAUGAGAUACCUCACCGCGCCCUGAAUGCACAAGAACUGUUUUGCUAUGAAAUAAAUGGCUCUUCUAAGACAAUAGGGGAAAGAAUGCUCACAGCUCACUGGUGCAGAGAACCAGGGCCGGCGGCAAGCAGAAAGGGCUGUCCGGCCAUCUGGGCUUGGCGGGCAGGCGGGGGCCUCACCUGGCCAGGGCAGCCUGGAGCUCCUCUUCUUUCUUGGCCAGCUGCAUCUUGAGCUCCGCAAUCUGCGCCUGGAGCUCGGCGAUCUGGUCACUGAGGUCCGUGGAGUCUCCCUCCAGCUUCCGGCGUGUUUUCUCUAGCUCCUGCCGCUGCUUUUCCUCCCUGCGGAGGCGCUCUGCAAGGAGGGGGAGCCCACAUAGCCCUCAGUGCCUUGGGCUCUUCUGUCUCUGGGUUAGUUACUUAUAUGAAAUACUGAGUCCUCGUUAUGAAAAGUGUGUAAGGCUCAAGGCAUCACAGAUACACAGACACUUGCACCCAACUCCUAGAUGCAGGAAGAGGACAUCAUUGCAAACUGCCAGUCCCUGGUGUGUCACUCUCCACCUCACCCCUUGUCCUUUCCUGCCAGUAGUUAAGUACUUACGUACCCUCCUAAAGCUGACGUUCAUAAUUCCCUUUUUCCUUGAAGGCUGUACCAUGUCUGUAUCUUUAAAAACUAUGUUCAAUAUUGUGUGCAUCGGAACUUAUGUAAUGGAACUGCCUUGUGUGAAUUCCACAGUUGGAACUGCAGAGUCAGGGCUCAAUGUCUAGCUUUAUAACUCUGUGAUGUCAAUACCUCUUCGAUGACCUACUUCAUUAGGCUGUGUUGUGAGGCGCCAGUGAGUCACAUCUUAAAAAACACCGACAACAGGUCGACAAUGGUUAUUCCCUGACGGGCCUCUGCCGCCCCAUCUCACAAUCUUGAGAUUUAGCCUGUGAAGUUUCGCUGGAAUAGAUUUGUAUGGACAUUUGCCUACCAUUCCAUGAUGGGCACACAUCACAACUUAUUUAUGUACCCGUCCUGCAGCUGACAGGCAUGGACUGUGUUCACCGCACGCUCUGAUAAUGCUGCUGCGAGUGCCCUGCUCACUCUCAGCGCACACGACAGAGUGAUGGACGGAACCAGCAUGCCCAGCUUCAACCUCGCUAGGACUGCCCGAUCACCCUCUGAAGUUGUCUACCAGUUUGCAGUUCCAGCAGCAGCCUGUGUGCGCUGUGACAGCUCCGUAUCUGUGUAAAACUAAAGCUCAUGGAACUUAAGUAAAAGGUGUAAGCUGAACCAGCUCAUCAGUGACAGAGCUAGUGAGUCCUCUAGGCCAAAACCAGAGCCACCUUGGAAGCCUCAGAAGCUCCUGAAACCCACGGUGCACGACAACAGGGGAACACCAAGGCUCUCCUCCUAACACGUUUGAAGCUGGGGAGCAUCUAGCCACAGAGCAACAGGGGCCUGGAAGCCCAGGCUCCCGCCGGCACCAGACACAGCUCCCCUCGACCUGCUGACCUCGGGUCUGAAGGGCAGCAGCCAGUGCUGCAGUGUGGUCCAGGCUCACCUGUGAGCUGAGGAUGCCUCAGUGUUCUGGUCAUAGGCCAGCCCCUGCCCACCAGCCCCCUGCCCGUCACCUCCCUCACCUUCUAA